rnacentral:rRNA from 1 species
UCUUCGGCAAUGGACGAAAGUCUGACCGAGCAACGCCGCGUGAGUGAAGAAGGUUUUCGGAUCGUAAAACUCUGUUGUUAGAGAAGAACGACGAGGAGAGUGGAAAGCUCCUCGUGUGACGGUAUCUAACCAGAAAGGGACGGCUAACUACGUGCCAGCAGCCGCGGUAAUACGUAGGUCCCGAGCGUUGUCCGGAUUUAUUGGGCGUAAAGCGAGCGCAGGUGGUUUAAUAAGUCUGAUGUAAAAGGCAGUGGCUCAACCAUUGUGUGCAUUGGAAACUGUUAGACUUGAGUGCAGUAGAGGAGAGUGGAAUUCCAUGUGUAGCGGUGAAAUGCGUAGAUAUAUGGAGGAACACCGGUGGCGAAAGCGGCUCUCUGGACUGUCACUGACACUGAGGCUCGAAAGCGUGGGUAGCAAACAGG